CCUACGGGUGGCAGCAGUGAGGAAUAUUGGUCAAUGGGCGCGAGCCUGAACCAGCCAAGUCGCGUGAAGGAUGACUGCCCUACGGGUUGUAAACUUCUUUUAUCAAGGAAUAAAGUGAGGCACGUGUGCCUUUUUGUAUGUACUUUAUGAACAAGGAUCGGCUAACUCCGUGCCAGCAGCCGCGGUAAUACGGAGGAUCCGAGCGUUAUCCGGAUUUAUUGGGUUUAAAGGGAGCGUAGAUGGGUUGUUAAGUCAGUUGUGAAAGUUUGCGGCUCAACCGUAAAAUUGCAAUUGAUACUGGCAGACUUGAGUACAGUUGAGGUAGGCGGAAUUCGUGGUGUAGCGGUGAAAUGCGUAGAUAUCACGAAGAACACCGAUUGCGAAGGCAGCUUACUAAACUGCCACUGACACUGAUGCACGAAAGUGUGGGUAUCAAACAGGAUUAGAUACCCGAGUAGUC
rnacentral:rRNA from 1 species